AUGGGUCCCUGUGUUCCACCUCGCUGCCCCACUGCGGGUACGGCUGUGGUUCCGCUGGUCCCGCUUGUACGGUUUCUAAGCGCCUGGUCAGCGCUACCCAGCCCGUCUCGCUGGCUCCUGCGGACCAUCAGCCUCGGCUAUGCGAUUCAGUUCGCCCGGCGUCCCCCCAAGUUCAGCGGUAUCCGCUUCACUACAGUGAAAACGUCCGAUGCCCCUGUUCUGCGGGAAGAGAUUGCAGUCUUACUGGCGAAAGACGCGAUAGAGCCGGUCCCUCCAGCCGAUAUGAGGACGGGGUUUUACAGCCCCUGCUUCAUUGUACCCAAGAAAGGCGGUGGGUUACGACCAAUCUUGGAUUUGCGAGUUUUGAACCGGGCCCUUCAUCGGCUACCGUUCAAGAUGUUGACGCAGAAACGCAUCUUCGGGUGCGUCCGUCCCCGAGAUUGGUUUGCAGCGAUCGACCUGAAGGACGCGUACUUUCAUGUGUCGAUCCUUCCGCGCCACAGACCUUUUCUGCGGUUUGCGUCUGAAGGACAGGCAUAUCAGUACAAGGUCCUGCCCUUCGGGCUGUCCCUUUCUCCCCGUGUCUUCACGAAAGUCACAGAGGCGGCUCUUGUUCCCCUCAGAGAGCAGGGUGUUCGUAUUCUCAACUAUCUAGACGAUUGGCUGAUACUAGCACAAUCUCGGGAUCAGUUGUGCGAACACAGGGACCUGGUGCUCCGGCACCUCAGCCUGUUGGGCCUUCGGGUCAACUGGGAAAAGAGCAAACUCUUGCCAACGCAGAGGAUCUCUUUUCUCGGUAUGGAGUUGGAUUCGGUCGAACAGACAGCACGCCUCAUAGAGGAACGUGCGCGGUCGGUGCUAGCCUGCUUGAAUACAUUCAAGAGCAGGACAGCGGUCCCACUGAAACUCUUUCAGAGGCUCCUGGGGCAUAUGGCGGCCGCAGCGGCACUUACACCGCUCGGCCUGUUACAUAUGAGACCGCUCCAGCACUGGCUUUAUGGCCGAGUCCCGAGGUGGGCGUGGAAGCGCGGCACUCACCGGGUCCAAGUUACACCGGCCUGUCGCCAACCCCUCACCCCCGUGGUCAGAUCUUGCGUUUCUCAGGGCAGGGGUGCCCCUAGAGCAGAUCUCCAGGCAUGCUGUGGUUUACACGGAUGCCUCCACCACCCGGCUGGGGGCCACGUACAACGGGCAUGCAGUCUCAGGGGUUUGGACGGGCCCGCAGCUGCAGUGGCACAUCAGUUGCCUAGAGUUGUUAGCAGUGCACCUUGCCUUGAACCGUCUCAAAGGUCACUUACGAGGCAAGCAUGUGCUGGUCCGAACGGACAACACAGCGACCGUUGCGUACAUCAACCGACAAGGUGGUCUGCGCUCCCGUCGCAUGUCACAACUCGCCCGCCACCUCCUCCUUUGGAGUCAGAAGGUUCUGAGGUCUCUUCGUGCCAUUCACAUUCCAGGCCUGCUCAACCGUACAGCCGACGAGCUGUCUCGAGCAAUGCUCCCAGGAGUAUGGCGACUCCAUCCCCUGAUGGUCCAGCUGAUUUGGAGACGGUUUGGAGCCGCUCAGGUAGACCUGUUUGCUUCUCCAGAGACCGCUUACUGCCAGUUGUUCUACUCCCUGACCGAGGGAACUCUCGGCAGGGAUGCACUGGCACACAGCUGGCCGCGGGGCCUACGCAAGUAUGCGUUUCCCCCAGUGAGCCUUCUUGCACAGACACUGUGCAAAGUCCGGGAGGACGAGAAGCAAGUCUUGCUAGUGGCGCCGUAUUGGCCCACGCGGACCUGGUUCCCCGAACUAGUGCUCCUCGCGACAGCCCCUCCUUGGCCGAUUCCUCUGAGGAAGGAUCUACUGACUCAGAGACGGGGCACCAUUUGGCACCCGCGUCCAGACCUUUGGAAACUCCAUGUCUGGUCCCUGGACGGGACGCGGAGGUUCUAGGUGACCUGCCCCAGGAGGUAGUGAACACCAUCACUUCGGCAAGAGCACAGUCUACGAGACACGCUUACGCCUUGAAGUGGAACCUGUUCGUCGAGUGGUGUUCUUCUCGCCGAGAAGACCCCCGAAGAUGCCCGAUUGCGGUUGUGCUUUCCUUUCUGCAGCAAGGGCUGGAGCGAAGGCUGUCUCCCUCCACCCUCAAAGUCCAGGUUGCCGCUAUUGCUGCGUACCAUGACCCCGUGAAUGGGAAGUCUUUAGGUAAGCAUGACCUCGUCAUCAGGUUCCUUAGAGGGGCCAGGAGGUCAAAUCCUUCCCGGCCCCCUCCAUACCCUCUUGGGACCUGA
ensembl:lncRNA